UACGGAGGGUGCGAGCGUUGUCCGGAAUUACUGGGCGUAAAGGGCGCGUAGGCGGCCUGCUAAGUCGAACGUGAAAUCCCCGAGCUCAACUCGGGAACUGCGUCCGAUACUGGCAGGCUUGAAUCCGGGAGAGGGAUGCGGAAUUCCAGGUGUAGCGGUGAAAUGCGUAGAUAUCUGGAGGAACACCGGUGGCGAAGGCGGCAUCCUGGACCGACACUGACGCUGAGGAGCGAAAGCCAGGGGAGCAAACGGG
rnacentral:rRNA from 1 species